GCGUGCUGGGGAGCGGGCUGGGCAGGAGGGCCGCUAGGAGUGGGGGGCCUGGACUUGCUCACGGCGCCCCAGAGAGGAACCUGACCCUACAGGGAAGCGGUGCCUGACACCGUCUUGUUUCAUCACGGCCAGAGCCAAGGAAUAGAAGAACAGGCCACUUGCUCAGAUCUCCCUGGAAAGAGCCCCAACAUCGUCUCUAAUCCUCACAGGGCCCUGGGGGAAGGGCGUCUUGUUUCCUACAUAACAGAAGAGAAGACUGAGUUCAAAGUCAGUCAGGACCUCGCUGGGCAGGGCUGGGAUCUGCGCUUGAGAAUGGCGAUCCCUGCGCCCACGGCCCCCCUCACGGCCUCUGGAGACCCUAGAAAGCGGAACCAACGACAACGGCUUGCUCUGCUGAGGGGUGGAGGGGAGCAGGGCCUACCGGGUGCCUGCCUGCCGGAGGGGAGGAAGCGGCCCGAGCUCCUAAUUAGGCCCCUGGCUGCUGCCCUGCUCCCUGCACGCAGGGGGCUCCUCGCCCAGAAUGAUGAUGAAUGACAUAUUUACUGUGUCCAGGCGUGUGCUUUUCUGGGAAAUAAAAAUUCUGGUCCAAGUUGUUUGUUCCACCUAAUUAGGGAAGGGGAGAUGUGUUCAUUAAGCAAGGGCAGAGCUCAGCGCCCGCUCCCCAGGGGAGGCCCUGAGCACCCCACCCAGGCCCCCAGCUCACGGGUCCAGUUGUGGGGAGGGAGCCAAGCCUUGGGGCGAAGAGCUGGGCCUCCAUCUUCUCACCCCAGUUCCUCCUUCCCUCGUUGCUCCCUCCUCACCUUUCCUUUCUUUCUCUGGUAGAAACCUCGCCUGGCCUCCCUUCUUCUCACAUGCAAAAGAAGCCCUUGGACUUAGAGGUCCGGGCCAGGUGAACAUUCUCUCAUUUGCUGAUUCUUGUCACAGUCCUGCUUCCCUGUCUUCCUUGCUCCUUCUUCUGUCUUCCCUCCCCUGAACUUGGCUCUGGGGGCACCCCGGGGCCCCAGCCCCCCACCUCCUGCUUCAGAAACCUUCAUAAGCACACACAUCAGCGCAGGGGGAGGGGGUGUCAGUGGAUUAUUAAUGGUGAGUCACUCAUUUCUGGGGCCACCAUCUCCAAGGCCUGGGGCAGCUCUCCCUCCAGCUUGAGGGGCACUAGUGUGACCCUGAUGGCAGCUCCUGCAGGUUCACUAGGACCCAGCCCACCUGUAUGUGCAGGUAGGGACCAGGAGUGGGCAUACAUGCCUCACCUGCAGGGGUGAGCAUGCCAGGACCGAGGCCUGCCUGGGUGGGCUUCCGUCCCUCUGCCUGUGUGCGUGUGCACGGACUGCUUCUAAAGAGCUUUCCUGACUGUCCCGGAGGCUGUGGGAGGCCUGGGGCUCAUCCCUGGACCCUGCCUGCCUUCCUGUGCUGCUUCCUGUCUGUGCACCCGGCUCCCCUGUCCUACCGGCAGGGCAGGCACUUGGCAUUCAAUUGGCAGUGGUGGUGGCAGGGCUGGGCUGGUGGGGGGCAAACUGCACGCGGUGUGAGGUUGUCCGGCGUGAGCAGCUGCUGCCACUCUGCUCUUUCCAAAGACCCCAAGCCUCAGCUGGGCAGUGGAGAGCUAGGCUGAGCUCCUAGAGGUGGGAGGCCUGGUGACGCCUGCUUCGUCACAGGUGAGGGAGGAUGGAGGUUUGGAGGGAACGCAGUGUGGGUGCCCCAAGCCUGGUGCUAAAUCUGGGAUGUUCAUUGAUAUGCACACAGCCUGGAAAGGGCCGGAGUGGCCUGAUUGCCUGGCAACAAGGCCUCCUCUCUCUCCCUAGUCACCCACCUCGCCCACCUGCUGGGCCCCUUUGUUUUUUUCUUUUACCAUCUCUCUGCUUCCCCUUUUAGUUGGUCCAAGGCUUGUGAGUUACCAUUAAAUGUUAACGCUGUUUCCCCUUUUAGUAGCUGUCUAGAGGAUCUACUGGGUGCCUGUUCUCACGUGUUUUGAAUAAGGCCGUAAUAGGAGGUGGGGAUUUGCACAGUGCCUUUUGCCCCAGACCCUGCAUCCUCAGGGGCUGAACCCCAGUCUUGUGCCCCAGGGGCCAGCAGGGGUGCCCGUCACAAAGGAGGCCAGGAUGAGUGGCAGCUGCAUCUAAGGGAGGGACUCCAGCCACUAAGACGGACAGAUGGGAUGGAGCGUGCUGGGUGACUGGUGGUUUCAGCCACUGGUCUGCAGUGUUUUAUGAAGACAGCCCGAGCAGACUGACACAGAGUCCCUGAUCCAGACCCUUUGUUUCGCAGACAAGGAGACUGAGGCCAAGAGCACAUGACUUUCCUGAGGUUACACAGCAGGGGUGGAACCCAGCCCCCUCCCUGCUGAGGGCUGUCAUUCCCAUCAGGGUGGUGGGAAUGUGACAGGGUUGGGCGGGGUAGGGGGUGGAGUGUGGCCUCCCUGCUCCGGUGCGCAGUCACACGGGGCCAGGCUCUCCCAGGGCCCUUCUCCGUGUGGAUGAGGACAAAAUGCUGGGUAUAAGGAAUGGGGGCAUGUCCUCUGGGACAUGAACCCUGGCAGAGGCCAGGCCGACCCAGCUUCCGGGGGGCACGGGACAGACCGGAGGGACACGCCCUUCCUUCUUCACCUUGUCUGGAUGGUCAUUCCCUGAGAAAGGGGGGGACCAGGGCUGUUCGGUUUGCACACCAGAGGCCUGUUCUCAGCUGUUUGCUGUCUCUAGGAACUAGCCAGCCCUGGGAGGGACAGUCCUUCCUCAGGAUGUCACAACAUCAUAAAAUACAGAAAAUAUGAAACACGGCAAACACAGAGACCAGUUCAGGGACCUUCCGACGCACGGCAGCUCGUGCGAAUUAGAGAAAAGCGCCCCCGCAGGUAGGUACAGUAGGGCGCAGGGCUUGGUAAGGGAUUAGGGGCUGGAUUCGGCCCUCCCUGGUCCCCUCCCGCCCUCCCCAGCCAGGCACCUGGGGCAGGAAAUACCUAAACAGCCUCACUGGGCAGCCCUGGGGAAGCGGCCAGCUUGAACAAAUGAAAAUCUAGGCCAUCAGUCAAGUGUGAGCUUCAGAGAGACAAGGAGUGAUCUUUAGUAUAAGUAUGGCCCAGAAGUACGCCCCAUGCCAUCUUCGGGACAUACUCACACUAAAAAGUUAUUUGCUGUUUGGCAGAGAUUCAAGUUUAACUGGGUGUCCUGUAUUUUAUCAGGCACUGGCCACUUCUGGAGUCUCCUCCUCUGACCACUCUGUCCUUAGGGUCUUCCCCAAGCCCAGCGAUUAUCCCCAGGGAAGAGAGAGAGGAGGAGAGACAGAAAAGGUCAGAUAAAGAGCCACAGCAGGAGAGAGGAAAGGAAAGACACAGAGAGGCGGAGAGACAAAGAGCCAGAAAGAAAAAGCGGCAGAAAGUCACAGACACAGAGCAAGGGCGGCAGAGGGAUGAGGGGAGGCGGCCCCUCCUCGCAGCCCCCUCCCUCCGUCUGCCCCGGCCUCACCUUGGAGUAGGUGGCCCCGUUGAUGACCUCUCCCUUCCGCAACCAGAUGAUGGAGGCUGCAGGCUUGGCGUUGUCUGCGUGGCAGAGUCCUAUCACAUCUGUUGUCCGAUUGAAUCCUCACGACAAUCUUGCGAGGUAAACAUUGUUAGCCCAAUUACACAGACCCGGAAACCGAGGCUCAGCAGGAUUAAGUGACUUGCUCGAGGUCCCUUAGCGAGUGAGUGGCAGAGCCAGGGCUGGAAGCAGGUCCCCGGACACUCAGAGCACCAGGCUGGCCGCUUCCCUCGCAGGGGACAGGUGACAGGCCACUGCUGAAGGCCGAGACGGUGUUUCAGAGGACCGUGCUACCCCCGGCAUCUUCUUAGCACUUAAGUCACCCAGAGCGGCUCCAACCCCUCAUCCCAGAGUCAGACAAUCUCUCCUGCCCGUUUCUUCCACUCCAUUUCAUAGUAGUGUGGUCCCCGCUGAGAGACGGGGAGUGCCCACGGUGCCCAGCACAGAGCCCAGUGCCUGGCAGAAGCUCCAUAAACAUCGGCCAACUCCAGCAGAGUCACACCUUCCAUCCCCAUGAUGAGCAUGGGGUAUGGGGAUAGGCAGGGCUCUUGAUACCAUUUUACGGAAGUAAGAGAUUCUGUGGCUGAAGGUUUAUGGAAUGGCCCCUAGCCCCACGGCUGUCUCUGAGAAGGGCUCCCACGAUCAGAAGGCUUUGGACUUCUGGCCUGGAGCCUGUGCCAGGGGUGACCAUCUGGCUGUCCUUCCCACAGGACAUCGGCUGCACAGAUGGCAAAGUGGGGCUGGGUUCAGAGGGUUUCCGCCCCAGCCUGGAACUGCUCUCUGCCUCAGUGUCUGGCAACCACAAAGCAUCAGGUCCAUUUGAGUCCUUGGUCUUGGUUUGUGGGGUUGGCCAACCUCGCCCAGACAGGCUGGGAAAAUUCCCUCGGUGCCAGGCCAUGGCAGCCCUCUGAGGUUUCCUCCAAAGUCCAGCUGGUCACCUAAGUGGCCCUUGCUGGGCGUCCAGAAGUCCCCGGAUGCUCUGCCAGCCCAGACGAUGUCUCCAGAGAUGGUAGAUGGGGCACAGCUGCCAAGGGAAGUCACAGCUGCACGGAUGUGGAGGUUAUGACGCCAGUGGCACAGGUGGGGAGGUCAGCAAGUCAUCCUCCCCCUCCCCGGGAAUACCUUGUGGACACUAAGCUCCUUGGAGGGCAGGCCCGCCCCAGUCUUGUUCAACUUGUGUACGGCGAGUUCUCCAGCAGCAGUCUGGUGAAAACACAGUCUGGUUGUGGCAGUGCUCUGCUCCAGGACCUCCAGGGGCUCCACACUCUCCUUGGAAUAUAAUCUGAACUCCUCUCAGUUGCCUACCAGCACCUACAAGCGCCUACAAGUGCCUACAAGUGCCUGCAGCCCGGCCCCAUCCUGCCUCUGGGACAUGGUUCCCCUCAGUCACGCGACCCUCACCACGCCCCGCCCCACGGCUUUUCCAUCUGGAAUGCUCUUUUCUGUAUCCUUAUCCCACUGGCUUCUCCCUGUCAAUGACAGUGCAGCUUAAAUGUCACAUCCUCGGUGAGGACGGCCAACCUGCAUAACAGCCCCUCAAUCAGUCUCCAUCACACCAGCCCACUUCAGUUUUCUUUAUCGCUGGAUUCAUUUAUUAUCUCCCUUUACUGGAAAGGAGGCUCCCUGAGAACAAAGACAGACCCUGUCUGUCUCGGUGACUGCAGCGUUGCCUUGUCCAGACCCGUGCCCGGCAUGCGCCUCUUCAACGUCACAGUCUGAGUAGUUGAGUGAAACCAGACACAUCCUGCCCUCUUGGAGCUGAUGGGGAGAACUUUGCUUCUCAAAGUGUGUGCCUGGGACAGACCUGCAGCCUCCGCACUGCCUGGGAGCUUGUUAGAAAUGCAGAUGGGGUGGGAAGGGAUAAAUUGGGAGCUGGAGAUUUGUAGAUAUGUAAAACUACUAUAUGUAAAAUAGAUCAACAACAAGUUUAUACUG